UGAUUUGGUGUUUUUCUUCACACAGAGGAAAAGAUACACAGAAAAUUCCAUAGGAUGAUACUCUGAAUUUUCCUCUCAGAAUGAAUUAUUUGUUGCAGAUUGCUGUAACUGUGAUGGCCUCCUGAGUAAAGAUGAUCUAGACUGAGUCAUGGAAUAUUUUCAAAUUGAUGAGUCUGAAAGAUAAUCUUGGUCCUAAGAGUUUGGAAGAACAUAGCUACAGUCACUGAAACUAUAAAAAAGACAGCAGCAACAUGUACUGGGGAGAAUACAGAGUUCAUGCAGACUGUCAAAGCCAGGGCCUUGAUUCCGUCACUAUCCAGCAAUUGGAGCCAUGCACUAAGAAGGAACAGAACAUCAUCACAUGUAGCCAGCUGGGUGCUGUCUCAGAAAGUCAAUCUGCAGAGGAAUAACUGGAGCCCUAUCCCAGGUCAUGACAAAAACCUACUUUCUGAAUGCAUAUCUUCUGCUGACAUUAUUAAUCAGACUGGCAUCAGGCGGUACAUAUGAAGAGAAUACAGUAAUCAAACUGCUUUUAGCUGAGUUUACAUUUUAUGUACAGGUCACGAACAGAAGGGUUUGAGAAAAUCAUGCAGGUGUAGCUGCAAAAAGCAAGCCUGUGUGGUGGUUGCUGGCUGUUAUUCUUGGGGAGGUUUGUGUAAAAGGACUCCUAGGGUUCAAUCCUAGGUUCUCAGCAGGGAUUCCGGUUUCAUAUUAAGGCAGAGAAAUGUGGAUGUCUAGAAACAAGCACAAAAUUUAGAGAAUUCUUCAGUUCAAUUUGUAUGAGGUUUAUUCAUAUGCCCAUGUAGGGUUAUCUUCUGUCCUUUCAGUUGGCAUGCAGCUUCUAGAAAGAAGUCCAGCCAUUACUUUUAAAAGCACGGGUUUCAUACAGGUCAUGGGAUGCAUCUAAUAACUUGAUUCAGACAUCCCAGCUACCCAAAGCAUCUGAAAUAGUCGUAGAUGUUUCCACCACAGGAAAAUGAAUUAAGCCAAUUUACUUGGCCAGGUAAACAUCUCCCUAGACUCUGCUGGUUAUAUCUCAAUUGGCUGCAAUGAGAAUUUAGAAACCUUAAGAUUUGUGUAAACAAAGGCAUCUCCUUUUCUUUCAUGUGACAAAUGCAAUUAUAGUAAUGGCACAGGACUUGUACUGUCCUUGUGCUCUUGUGUGCUGAAGUAUUAAGCAAAUCUCCAGACACUUUUGACAGUAUAGGCUAGCUCAAGAAUGGUUAUGACAGACAUUUUAACAGCUGCUUUGUGCAGUAUGAAAACUUUAAAAGCCAUAUAAAAAAGCAAACAAACACCCUAAGCAUUCUUCUUAUAAACAAUAUAGAAAGAGAAUGAUUCUAGAGGGUAGUCCAUCUCACAAAGGCCUGGUUGUACAGAAAUUACAGAGAGCUUGAGAUCUCAUUCCAUAUUUUCCAAUGAAAUGUUAAAGGUAGGGGGAAUUAACAGAGACCUUGAACUCUCAGAGCCCUCUGACUAAAAAAAUGAGAAUAGAUUUUAUCGUGAU
rnacentral:lncRNA from 1 species